CCUUCCCAUAAGCCUGUGCGCACCUCGCGGUGGACGCUGCGGGGCUGAGCAGGUGCGGGUAGCGUCUCUCUGGUUUCAAUUCUUUACCGCUGACUCAGACUCAGCCGUUUUCAGGUCACGAUUUUCUAAUUGCUGCCUAGAAAAUGAGCAGACGUGUGCGCUCAAAAUCCAGAGGAAGAGGAGAUGGUCAGGAAUCUUCCACUUUGGUUGAUACUGUGGCUGUCCGAAAGCCCAGUGGAAAUGAAGAGGAACCACCGACUGAGAGUCAGGAAAUUGAACCUGGACAAGAGGGAGGAGAAGGAGUACCCGUGGUUGACAGUGAAGAGGGAGAACUUGAACUGGAAGGUGGUCCCCCGGAAAUGGUUCUGGAAAAGACUGGAGGUGAACGUGGAGAUGGUCCUGAUGUGAAAGCGAAGACUCCUCCACCUACUCCGGAGUAAGCUAAAGUUCCAAAAGCAGAAAAUGGACAGUCCUAAGUUGACAAGAAGACAAACCGAAGCUACACAUGCUGUUACAUUGAAAAUUUGACUUGUUAAAUUCUCUAUUCAAUAAAGUUUUACAGUUUUCUCUGCAA